rnacentral:rRNA from 1 species
UACGUAGGGUCCGAGCGUUGUCCGGAAUUAUUGGGCGUAAAGGGCUCGUAGGCGGUUGGUCACGUCGGGAGUGAAAACUCAGGGCUCAACCCUGAGCGUGCUUUCGAUACGGGCAGACUGGAGGUAUGCAGGGGAGAACGGAAUUCCUGGUGUAGCGGUGAAAUGCGCAGAUAUCAGGAGGAACACCGGUGGCGAAGGCGGUUCUCUGGGCAUGUCCUGACGCUGAGGAGCGAAAGUGUGGGGAGCGAACAGG